GAUGAACGCUGGCGGCGUGCCUAAUACAUGCAAGUCGAGCGAACGGACGAGAAGCUUGCUUCUCUGAUGUUAGCGGCGGACGGGUGAGUAACACGUGGAUAACCUACCUAUAAGACUGGGAUAACUUCGGGAAACCGGAGCUAAUACCGGAUAAUAUUUUGAACCGCAUGGUUCAAAAGUGAAAGACGGUCUUGCUGUCACUUAUAGAUGGAUCCGCGCUGCAUUAGCUAGUUGGUAAGGUAACGGCUUACCAACGCAACGAUGCAUAGCCGACCUGAGAGGGUGAUCGGCCACACUGGAACUGAGACACGGUCCAGACUCCUACGGGAGGCAGCAGUAGGGAAUCUUCCGCAAUGGGCGAAAGCCUGACGGAGCAACGCCGCGUGAGUGAUGAAGGUCUUCGGAUCGUAAAACUCUGUUAUUAGGGAAGAACAUAUGUGUAAGUAACUGUGCACAUCUUGACGAUACCUAAUCAGAAAGCCACGGCUAACUACGUG
rnacentral:rRNA from 1 species